AGUACAAAUGAAGCAUCCAGGAGCUGGCCAAUCAUCUCGUAUCCCAUAGGCAGCCAGAGGAGUGAUAAUGACCAUGGAGCUGGCUGAGCCGGGAGCUGGAUGGGAAGCAGAGCUGCCAGGAUUAGAACUGGCUCCCAUAUGGGAUCUUGGCACGUGCAAGGACGAGCUAGCAUCCUGCUGUUGGCGACUGUACCAGUCCCUGCUCACCUCUUCGCUUC